rnacentral:ncRNA from 2 species
GAUCCCGCCUUGCAUCAACUGAAU